GCUUUGCACAGUGGCAGUAUCGUAGCCAAUGAGGUUUAUCCGAGGCGCAAUUAUUGCUAAUUGAAAAAUGUUC
rnacentral:snRNA from 1 species